GACGAACGCUGGCGGCGUGCUUAACACAUGCAAGUCGAACGGAAAGGCCCUUCGGGGUACACGAGUGGCGAACGGGUGAGUAACUCGUGAGUAACCUGCCCUUCACUCUGGGAUAACAGUUGGAAACGGCUGCUAAUACCCGAUAUUCAGCUCCUGUCGCAUGGUGGGGGUUGGAAAGUUUUGGUGGUGGAGGUUGGGCUCGCGUCCUAUCAGCUUGUUGGUGGGGUGAUGGUCUACCAAGGCGUCGACGGGUAGCCGGCCUGAGAGGGCGACCGGCCACAUUGGGACUGCGAUACGGCCCAAACUCCUACGGGAGGCAACGGUGGGGAAUAUUGCACAAUAGGCGGAAGCCUGAUGCAGCGACGCCGCGUGCGGGAUGACGGCCUUCGGGUUGUAAACCGCUUUCAGCAGGGACGAAGCGCAAGUGACGGUACCUGCAGAAGAAGCACCGGCUAACUACGUG
rnacentral:rRNA from 1 species